rnacentral:lncRNA from 1 species
UUCUUCUUCCCUCUUCUUCUUCCUCGCUCCUUCUUUCUCCGCCUCUGUAGUUCACGUGCAGAAGACGACGACGCGCGCAAAGGACGGCCUACGGCCGAGAGGAGUAGGCCGACGUCGGCCGGAGAGGAUAAGAUCUCGGGCGCCAUCAAUGCCGAGCACGCUUCACUGGAUAAGCUCAGAUGGGACACCGGUUUGGCCGUCGAGGGCCGCUCAGUGCGCGAAGGGGACCGGCGGUCGAAGUUCCGUCGACCGGCCACCCCCUCGCCUAUAAAUAGCCCCCGAUGUCGACGACGAAGAGCACGAG